GACGAACGCUGGCGGCGUGCUUAAUACAUGCAAGUCGAACGGUGAGGGAGGAUCUUGCUUCCCUGGAGGAGUGGCACACGGGUGAGUAACGCGUAGGGAACCUGCCAAGUAGUGGGGGAGAACGAUUAGAAACGGUAGCUAAUACCGCGUAAGAGUAGAUGCUCCAUGGCAGGUGCUUGAGAGGUGCAAUUGAAUCGGUACGAGAUGGGCCUGCGUAGUAUGAGCUCGGUGGUGGGGUAACGGCUCACCAAGGCAACGAUACAUAGGCGACCCGAGAGGGUGAUCAGCCGCACUUGGACUGGGACAAGGCCCCAACCCGUGCGGGAGGCAGCAGUAAGGAUCCUUCGGGAAGCGGCGGAAGUCAGACCGAGCCACGCCGCGUGAGUGUAGAGGGGUUUCGGAUCGUGAAGCUCUGUUGUAUGCGGAGAACGAGUUUGAGAGUGUAAAGUACACACUGUGACGGUAUCUUACCAGUAAGCAACGGCUAACUACGUG
rnacentral:rRNA from 1 species